rnacentral:misc_RNA from 1 species
AACGCACAUUGCGCCCAUUAGUAUUCUAGUGGGCAUGCCUGUUCGAGCGUCAUUUCGACCAUCAAGCUUUAUUUGCUUGGAGUUGGGAAUUUACUCGUGAGUAAUUCCUCAAAUCUAUCGGCGGAGUUGCGAUGACCCCAAGCGUAGUAAUUAUUUCUCGCUUUAGGUGUGUUAACGCUGACGUUUAGCCGUUAAACCCCCUAUAUUUACGUAGGUUUGACCUCGGAUCAGGUAGGAAUACCCGCUGAACUUAA